GAUGAACGCUGGCGGCGUGCCUAAUACAUGCAAGUCGAGCGAAUGGAUUGAGAGCUUGCUCUUAUGAAGUUAGCGGCGGACGGGUGAGUAACACGUGGGUAACCUGCCCAUAAGACUGGGAUAACUCCGGGAAACCGGGGCUAAUACCGGAUAACAUUUUGAACCGCAUGGUUCGAAAUUGAAAGGCGGCUUCGGCUGUCACUUAUGGCUGGACCCGCGUCGCAUUAGCUAGUUGGUGAGGUAACGGCUCACCAAGGCAACGAUGCGUAGCCGGCCUGAGAGGGUGAUCUGCCACGCUGGGACUGCGACACGGCCCAGGCUCCUACGGGAGGCAGCAGUAGGGAAUCUUCCGCAAUGGACGAAAGUCUGACGGAGCAACGCCGCGUGAGUGAUGAAGGCUCUCGGGUCGUAAAACUCUGUUGUUAGGGAAGAACAAGUGCUAGUUGAAUAAGCUGGCACCUUGACGGUACCUAACCAGAAAGCCACGGCUAACUACGUGCCAGCCGCCGCCGUAA
rnacentral:rRNA from 1 species